CUUAGUAACUGCGAGUGAAGCGGCAAAAGCUCAAAUUUGAAAUCGGUGUCCUUCUCGGGCAUCGAGUUGUAAUUUGGAGGGAUAACUUCGGUACGGACUACAUCGUAAGUUCCUUGGAACAGGACGUCAUAGAGGGUGAGAAUCCCGUGUCUUGGUGUUUGGCCGUGCCAUGUGAAGUGUCUCCGACGAGUCGAGUUGUUUGGGAAUGCAGCUCAAAAUGGGUGGUAAAUUUCAUCUAAAGCUAAAUAUUGGCGAGAGACCGAUAGCGCACAAGUAGAGUGAUCGAAAGAUGAAAAGCACUUUGAAAAGAGAGUUAAAAAGUACGUGAAAUUGUUGAAAGGGAAGCGCUUGCGACCAGACUCGAUCUUUGGUGAUCAGCCGGGCUUCGGUCCGGUGCCCUCACCAUUGAUUGGGCCAGCAUCGGUUCUGACGGCGGGACAAAAGGAGGAGGAAUGUGGCUCCCCUCGGGGAGUGUUAUAGCCUUCUUCACAAUGCCGCCAGUUGGGACCGAGGACCGCGCUUCGGCUAGGAUGCUGGCGUAAUGGUCUUAAGCGACCCGUCUUGAAACACGGACCAAGGAGUCUAACAUCUAUGCGAGUGUUCGGGUGGAAAACCCUUGCGCGUAAUGAAAGUGAACGGAGGUGUGAACCCUUUACCGGGUGCAACAUCGACCGGUCCUGAUGUCUUCGGAAGGAUCUGAGUAAGAGCAUAGCUGUUGGGACCCGAAAGAUGGUGAACUAUGCCUGAAUAGGGUGAAGCCAGAGGAAACUCUGGUGGAGGCUCGCAGCGGUUCUGACGUGCAA
rnacentral:rRNA from 1 species